rnacentral:rRNA from 1 species
AGAGUUUGAUCCUGGCUCAGGAUGAACGCUGGCGGCGUGCCUAAUACAUGCAAGUCGAGCGGUAACACUUCGGGUGACGAGCGGCGGACGGCAGAGUAACGCGUAGGAACGUACCCCGAACUGAGGGAUAAGCACCGGAAACGGUGUCUAAUACCGCAUAUUAUUUUCGAAUCAAAGCCUUCGGGCGGUUUGGGAGCGGCCUGCGUAUGAUUAGCUUGUUGGUGAGGUAAUGGCUCACCAAGGCGACGAUCAUUAGCUGGUCUGAGAGGAUGAUCAGCCUGACUGGGACUGAGACACGGCCCAGACUCCUACGGGAGGCAGCAGUAGGGAAUUUUCCGCAAUGGGCGAAAGCCUGACGGAGCAACGCCGCGUGCAGGAGGAAGGCCUUCGGGUCGUAAACUGCUUUUAACGGGGACGAUUAUGACGGUACCCGUAGAAUAAGGAUUGGCUAAUUCCGUGCCAGCCGCCGCGGUAAUAC